rnacentral:rRNA from 1 species
UACGAAGGGGGCUAGCGUUGCUCGGAAUCACUGGGCGUAAAGCGCACGUAGGCGGAUUGCUAAGUCAGGGGUGAAAUCCUGGAGCUCAACUCCAGAACUGCCUUUGAUACUGGCGAUCAUGAGUCCGGGAGAGGUGAGUGGAACUGCGAGUGUAGAGGUGAAAUUCGUAGAUAUUCGCAAGAACACCAGUGGCGAAGGCGGCUCACUGGCCCGGUACUGACGCUGAGGUGCGAAAGCGUGGGGAGCAAACAGG